UACGUAGGGUGCAAGCGUUAAUCGGAAUUACUGGGCGUAAAGCGUGCGCAGGCGGUUAUGCAAGACAGAUGUGAAAUCCCCGGGCUCAACCUGGGACUGCAUUUGUGACUGCAUGACUAGAGUACGGCAGAGGGGGAUGGAAUUCCGCGUGUAGCAGUGAAAUGCGUAGAUAUGCGGAGGAACACCGAUGGCGAAGGCAAUCCCCUGGGCCUGUACUGACGCUCA
rnacentral:rRNA from 1 species